GUCUAUAGUUAAAGUUUUAUACUUAUAUGAAUCUCCUUCAAUGAGUCGAGUUGUUUGGGAAUGCAGCUCUAAAUUGGUGGUAAAUUCCAUCUAAAGCUAAAUAUUGGCAAGAGACCGAUAGUGCACAAGUAGAGUGAUCGAAAGAUGAAAAGAACUCUGAACAGAGAGUUAAAUAGUACGUGAAAUUGUUGAAAGGGAAGCACUUGCAACUAGAUAUAUUUAGAACUAAUCAAUUACUAUUUAUUAGUGAUGCACUUAGUUUUAAAUAGGUCAAUAUGAGUUAUCAUAAGCAGGAAAAAGAUUGAUGGAAUGUAGCUCUCUUCGGGGAGUGUUAUAGCUGUUAAUUGAAUACUGCUCGUUAUGACUGAGGACUGCACUGAAUAAGUAAGGAUAUUGACAUAAUGGUUGUAAGUGACCCGUCUUGAAACACGGACCAAGGAGUCUAGCAUCUAUGCAAGUAUUUGGAUUUAUUAAUCCUUAUGCGAAAUGAAAGUAAAUGGAGGUGGGAACCUUUUUGGUGCACCAUCGACCAAUCCUGAUGUUUUCGGAUGGAUUUGAGUAGGAGCAUAGCUGUUGGGACCCGAAAGAUGGUGAACUAUGCCUGGAUAGGGUGAAGCCAGAGGAAACUCUGGUGGAGGCUCGCAGCGGUUCUG
rnacentral:rRNA from 1 species